ensembl:lncRNA
CUCCAAGCCCCGCUUUGGGGUCCACCACCCAACGAACCCCCACUUUGGGGUCUCCACCCAACGUACCCCAACUUUGGGGUCUCCACCAUCCAAAAAACACCAACUUUGGGGUCUCCAACCCCAAAUUUGGGGUCCACCACCCAACAAACCCCAACUUUGAGGUCCACCACCCAACGUACCCGAACUUUGGGGUCUCUCCACCACCCAAUGUACCCCAACUUUGGGGUCCACCACCCAAUGAACCCCAACUUUGGGGUCUCCACCAUCCAAAAAACACCAACUUUGGGGUCUCUAACCCGAGCUUUGGGGCCCACCACCCAAUGUACCCCAACUUUGGGGUCUCCACCACCCAAUGUACCCCAACUUUGGGGUCCACCACCCAACGAACCCCAAC